AGUCAAGAGUCUUUGGCACCGUUUUUGGUGAGCGGUUUUCUUUUGCCUGUUGAAAGGUGAAGGAAAUG
rfam:Agrobacterium radiobacter K84 chromosome 2, complete sequence.